ACUCCUACGGGAGGCAGCAGUGGGGAAUAUUGCACAAUGGGCGCAAGCCUGAUGCAGCCAUGCCGCGUGUGUGAAGAAGGCCUUCGGUUGUAAAGCACUUUCAGUCGUGAGGAAGGUAGUGUAGUUAAUAGCUGCAUUAUUUGUACGUUAGCGACAGAAGAAGCACCGGCUAACUCCGUGCCAGCAGCCGCGGUAAUACGGAGGGUGCGAGCGUUAAUCGGAAUUACUGGGCGUAAAGCGCAUGCAGGUGGUUUGUUAAGUCAGAUGUGAAAGCCCGGGGCGUCAACCUCGGAAUAGCAUUUGAAACUGGCAGACUAGAGUACUGUAGAGGGGGUAGGAAUUUCAGGUGUAGCGGUGAAAUGCGUAGAGAUCUGAAGGAAUACCGGUGGCGAAGGCGGCCCCCUGGACAGAUACUGACACUCAGAUGCGAAAGCGUGGGGAGCAAACAGGAUUAGAUACCCUGGUAGGAUAGCG
rnacentral:rRNA from 1 species